rnacentral:misc_RNA from 1 species
UGUGGAUGCGGUGUGACGCC